rnacentral:rRNA from 1 species
AAUCUUGCACCAUGGAGGGAACUCUGAUGCAGCGACGGCGCGUGAACGAUGACGGCUUUCGCGUCGGAAAGUUCUGUCCUAUGGGACGAUAAUGACGGUACAAUAGGAGGAAGCCCCGGAUAACUACGGGCCAGCAGCCGCGGUAAUACGUAGGGGGCGAACGUUGUCCGGAAUUAUUGGGCGUAAAGGGUACGCAGGCGGCCAGAUAGGUCAUAUGUGAGAUCCUAGGGCGUAACACGAGUUGGCAUUUGAAUCUGUAUGGCUUGAGUUAGGGAGAGGAAAGUGGAAUUCCUGGUGUGGCGAGGAAAUGCGUAGAUAUCAGGAGGAAUACCAGUGGCGAAGGCGGCUUUCUGGACUUAUACUGACGCUGCGGUACGAAAGAGUGGGGAGCAAACA